AAGAUUCCAUAAGAUCUCAAAAUCUUCUUUAAAGAUCACAAGAUCAAUUACAAUCUUUCCAAAUAUUUUCUCUCUCCCUCACUCACCAUUUUCGGCCACCCCUCUUCUCCCACAUCUCUCACUUUCCUCCAUUUUCCUCCAUUGAAGAGACCUUCGGAGCUUCCAAAAAUUUUACCAAACACCUCAAUUCACUCUAAAAUCUUCCAUAAACAUAUCCUAGCUACUUAUAUUCAAGAGAAUCCUUGAAGAAGGGCUUCAAAGCUAGAGUGAGAAAGUGUGAGUCUUGGUAAGAAACUUGGGCCCGAGCGAGACGAAGAAGUAAGUUGCCUGAUUUUCUUUCCAGGAUUAGCGAAGGACUUCAGGCUAAGCGAGGAGCGAGAUUGGUCUGGUGCUAGUGGGGGAAACGUUUCAAUCGAUGUAAUUAUAUUUCCGUAUUGCCUUCAUGUUAAUAGAGUCUUGAGGAUUGAGAUACUUUGUUUUCUUUUGAAAUCAAGCAAUUUACUCACGGUUAUGUGUCUUCAUACAUGUAAUCGAUUUGCCUUUUUGCUGCGAUACUCUGCAUAUUAUGCUUCCUUAUGAAAAAUGAGCUAUACCCGCUUUGUUUUUGUUCGUGAAAUUCCUGAUAAUUAAAAAGUUAUAACGACGUUGACGAUUU